AACGAACGCUGGCGCGCGCUAAUACAUGCAAGUCGAGCGAGCGGCGAACGGGUGAGGAAUACAUGGGAACCUACCCUCGGUGGGGAAUAACUAGCCGAAAGGUUAGCUAAUACCGCGUAGGAUGGGCCCAUGUCCUAUCAGCUUGUUGGUGAGGUAACGGCUCACCAAGGCUUCGACGGGUAGCUGGUCUGAGAGGACGAUCAGCCACACUGGCACUGCGACACGGGCCAGACUCCUACGGGAGGCAGCAGUAAGGAAUAUUGCGCAAUGGGCGAAAGCCUGACGCAGCGACGCCGCGUGGGGGAUGAGGGUCUUCGGAUUGUAAACCCCUUUCGGGAGGGAGGACGGUACCUCCAGAAGCAGCCACGGCUAACUUCGUGCCAGCAGCCGCGGUAAUACGAAGGUGGCAAGCGUUGUUCGGAUUUACUGGGCGUACAGGGAGCGUAGGCGGUUCGGUAAGCCCUUUGUGAAAUCUCCAGGCUUAACCUGGAACAGUCGGAGGGGACUGCUGGGCUAGAGGACGGGAGAGGAGCGCGGAAUUCCCGGUGUAGCGGUGAAAUGCGUAGAGAUCGGGAGGAAGGCCGGUGGCGAAGGCGGCGCUCUGGAACGUUUCUGACGCUGAGGCUCGAAAGCGUGGGGAGCAAACAGGAUUAGAUACCCUGGUAGUCCACGCCCUAAACGAUGUCAACUGGUUGUUGGUAACGAAGCUAACGCGUGAA
rnacentral:rRNA from 1 species